rnacentral:rRNA from 1 species
UACAGAGGCCUCGAGCGUUAGGCGGAAUCACUGGGCUUAAAGCGUGUGUAGGCGGACUUCUAAGUGCCUUGUGAAAUCCCACGGCUCACCCGUGGAACUGCUGGGCAUACUGGGAGUCUUGAGCCACCUAGGGGCGAGCGGAACAAAUGGUGGAGCGGUGAAAUGCGCAGAUAUCAUUUGGAACACCAAUGGUGAAAACAGCUCGCUGGGAGUGUGCUGACGCUGAGACACGAAAGCCAGGGGAGCGAACGGG